CAACAUAAUAAUAAUAUAGAACAAAAUGGUUAUCAAAGAAUGGAACUGAACUAAACUGAGCUGAACUGAUUAGAGCUGAACUGAACUGCACUGAUUGGAGCUGAACUGACUGAACUAAACUAAACUGAAGUGAACUGAAAAUAAGAUGGGGAGAACAGGUCCUAAGGCAUGUUCUUCAAUUACACAUGGUAAUUAUCUGCUUUUGUUUGUUUUUUCGAUUCUUAGGUUCAUUUUUUUCUUACAUCUUGCUUGUUGCUUGCUGUAUUUUAAUUUAUUUUAGAUCUAAACUUUGCUGGUUGCUUCAUUAUGUACACUUCAACAACGACAUUGAAAUGUUGCUCGAAAGAAAACACUCUCUCAUUCCACGCCGCCGAGAAGUUUGAAUCUGUUGGUGGUGGAUUUUCUGAUUUUUAAAAGUUAAUUUAUCUCUAUAGAACAUUCUCCUUCAAUUACCAAAUUACUCAAAGCUAAAAAGGCAAGUUCAAGAGUCGAAGAUGAACCAAAGAUGAGCAAAAGAAUCAACUGAUGAGCUUGGUUUGUGGCUGUUUUGUUGUUUGUUUGGGUUUUGUUGAGCUUGAUGAUGUUAAGCUUUAUUUUUCGUCUUGUAGAUCGCGAAGAGAUGGGUAUGUUAGAUGAACAGAUUUAGGUAAUUAUCAGUAGUUGAGAAAGUGUCUCUGAUUUUUCUAUUUGUUGCUCAGUUAUAAUUUGUAAAUUAAAUUAUGAUAUAAAGUAACAUUUGUAUUAGGUAUUUUA